UGGGGUGGAGGUCAGGGGUAGGACGCGUGCUUGGCAUGCACGAGGUCCUGGGUUCAGUCCCCUGUGCCUCAC
rnacentral:tRNA from 1 species